GGGGUUGUGGCUCAGUGGUAGAGCACUCGCCUAGCAUGUGCGAGGUCCUGGGUUCAAUCCUCAGCACCACA
rnacentral:tRNA from 1 species